rnacentral:rRNA from 1 species
CCAUGCAUGUCUAAGUAUAAGCACUCUAUACUGUGAAACUGCGAAUGGCUCAUUAAAUCAGUUAUCGUUUAUUUGAUAGUACCUUACUACAUGGAUACCUGUGGUAAUUCUAGAGCUAAUACAUGCUAAAAACCCCAACUUCGGGAGGGGUGUAUUUAUUAGAUAAAAAACCAAUGCCCCUCGGGGCUCCUUGGUGAUUCAUAAUAACUUAACGAAUCGCAUGGCCUUGCGCCGGCGAUGGUUCAUUCAAAUUUCUGCCCUAUCAACUUUCGAUGGUAGGAUAGUGGCCUACCAUGGUGGCAACGGGUAACGGGGAAUUAGGGUUCGAUUCCGGAGAGGGAGCCUGAGAAACGGCUACCACAUCCUAGGAAGGCAGCAGGCGCGCAAAUUACCCAAUCCCGACACGGGGAGGGAGUGACAAUAAAUACUGAUACGGGGCUCUUUUGGGUCUCGUAAUUGGAAUGAAAACAAUCUAAACCCCUUAACGAGGAACGGUUGGAGGGGAAAUCUGGUGCAGCAGCCGCGGUAAUUCCAGCUCCAAUAGCGUAUAUUAAAGUUGUUGCAGUUAAAAAGCUCGUAGUUGAACCUUGGGUCUGGCUGGCCGGUCCGCCUCACCGCGAGUACUGGUCCGGCUGGACCUUUCCUUCUGGGGAACCCCAUGGCCUUCACUGGCUGUGGGGGGAACCAGGACUUUUACUGUGAAAAAAUUAGAGUGUUCAAAGCAGGCCUUUGCUCGGAUACAUUAGCAUGGAAUAAUAGAAUAGGACGUGCGGUUCUAUUUUGUUGGUUUCUAGGACCGCCGUAAUGAUUAAUAGGGAUAGUCGGGGGCGUCAGUAUUCAGCUGUCAGAGGUGAAAUUCUUGGAUUUGCUGAAGACUAACUACUGCGAAAGCAUUCGCCAAGGAUGUUUUCAUUAAUCAGGGAACGAAAGUUAGGGGAUCGAAGACGAUCAGAUACCGUCGUAGUCUUAACCAUAAACUAUGCCGACUAGGGAUCGGGCGGCGUUUCUUUUAUGACCCGCUCGGCACCUUACGAGAAAUCAAAGUUUUUGGGUUCUGGGGGGAGUAUGGUCGCAAGGCUGAAACUUAAAGAAAUUGACGGAAGGGCACCACAAGGCGUGGAGCCUGCGG